rnacentral:rRNA from 1 species
UAGCAUAUCAAUAAGCGGAGGAAAAGAAACCAACAGGGAUUGCCCUAGUAACGGCGAGUGAAGCGGCAACAGCUCAAAUUUGAAAUCUGGCUUCGGCCCGAGUUGUAAUUUGCAGAGGAAGCUUUAGGCGCGGCACCUUCUGAGUCCCCUGGAACGGGGCGCCAUAGAGGGUGAGAGCCCCGUAUAGUUGGAUGCCUAGCCUGUGUAAAGCUCCUUCGACGAGUCGAGUAGUUUGGGAAUGCUGCUCAAAAUGGGAGGUAAAUUUCUUCUAAAGCUAAAUACCGGCCAGAGACCGAUAGCGCACAAGUAGAGUGAUCGAAAGAUGAAAAGCACUUUGAAAAGAGGGUUAAAUAGCACGUGAAAUUGUUGAAAGGGAAGCGCUUGUGACCAGACUUGCGCCGGGCGGAUCAUCCGGUGUUCUCACCGGUGCACUCCGCCCGGCUCAGGCCAGCAUCGGUUCUCGCGGGGGGAUAAAGGUCCUGGGAACGUAGCUCCUCCGGGAGUGUUAUAGCCCGGGGCGUAAUGCCCUCGCGGGGACCGAGGUUCGCGCAUCUGCAAGGAUGCUGGCGUAAUGGUCAUCAGCGACCCGUCUUGAAACACGGACCAAGGAGUCAAGGUUUUGCGCGAGUGUUUGGGUGUAAAACCCGCACGCGUAAUGAAAGUGAACGUAGGUGAGAGCUUCGGCGCAUCAUCGACCGAUCCUGAUGUUUUCGGAUGGAUUUGAGUAGGAGCGUUAAGCCUUGGACCCGAAAGAUGGUGAACUAUGCUUGGAUAGGGUGAAGCCAGAGGAAACUCUGGUGGAGGCUCGCAGCGGUUCUGACGUGCAAAUCGAUCGUCAAAUCUGAGCAUGGGGGCGAAAGACUAAU